rnacentral:rRNA from 1 species
UGACAGUACUCUACGGGGAGGCAGCAGUGGGGAAUAUUGCACAAUGGGGGAAACCCUGAUGCAGCCAUGCCGCGUGUGUGAAGAAGGCCUUCGGGUUGUAAAGCACUUUCAGUAGGGAGGAAGGUAGUGUAGUUAACACCUGCAUUAUUUGACGUUACCUACAGAAGAAGCACCGGCUAACUCCGUGCCAGCAGCCGCGGUAAUACGGAGGGUGCGAGCGUUAAUCGGAAUUACUGGGCGUAAAGCGCAUGCAGGCGGCCUGUUAAGUCAGAUGUGAAAGCCCGGGGCUUAACCUCGGAAUUGCAUUUGAAACUGGCAGGCUAGAGUCUUGUAGAGGGGGGUAGGAAUUUCAGGUGUAGCGGUGAAAUGCGUAGAGAUCUGAAGGAAUACCAGUGGCGAAGGCGGCCCCCUGGACAAAGACUGACGCUCAGAUGCGAAAGCGUGGGGAGCAAACAGGAUUAGAUACCCUGGUAG